UAGGGAAUAUUGGGCAAUGGAUGCAAGUCUGACCCAGCCAUGCCGCGUGCCGGAUGAAGGCCCUCAGGGUUGUAAACGGCUUUUAUUCGGGAAGAAGAAUAGGGAUGCGUCCUUAUGUGACGGUACCGAAUGAAUAAGCACCGGCUAACUCCGUGCCAGCAGCCGCGGUAAUACGGAGGGUGCGAGCGUUGUCCGGAUUUAUUGGGUUUAAAGGGUGCGUAGGGGGCUUUAUAAGUCAGUGGGGGAAUA
rnacentral:rRNA from 1 species